UCAGAAUGGUUCUCGCUCUAGUAGCUACCCUUCAAAUUUCAGAAAAAAGACACAGACAGAAGAGCUUUUUUAAUAUAUAUGACUUUAGAACAGGGAUGAAAUCUACUUACCUACCCUACUGGUUCAGGAGUGUGUGCGCCAUCAUCACGUCUAAUUUUUGAUCCUCUGCACAUGUGCAAAGCCUUCUGCGCAUGCACAGAGGGUCAAAAAUGGGUUACUUCCUGGUUAAAACCAGGAAGUAAUGACGUCUGGGCAGGUGGGCGGAGCCUCAUGCUCCCACCACUACCGGUUUGCCAAACCACACGCCACUGGCGCUACCGGUUCGCAUGAGCCAGACAGAACCGGCAGGAUUUCACCACUGCUUUAGAACAUACACUAGAGAGAAGUUAUUAGACUGAUGUGAAGUGUCAAAGAGGUAUUUAGUUUUGAUGAAGCUUCACUUUAAUCAUCUAUCUAAGCAGAUUAACAGGUUUAUUUCAGUGCAGGAAAACAAAUCAGGGGACUGUACAAGAACAAAGAUUUUGAUGAAGUGAUUUGGGCUGUGGAGGUAAAUUUACUUUUUAAACUCUUAAACUCUUAAAGCUCUUAUUUUUAAGUUGGAAUAAGAGAUGUCCUUUGUUGGAUAAUUUACAGUAUUGUGCUUUCCUCAGCCGUGAUACCUUUGUCUUAACAAAGGGAAUGGGUGGGGAAUGUUUUGAAUGAUAUUGAAUCUAAACCUUGGAGGCUAUUCAGCUAAAGCUGAGAAAGAAGAACGAGCAUUCUUGGGGAAAUUAAAACCUGUAAACAUAUACCGCACCCAAGUUUCCAUUCUGAAUAUCUGUAGCUGAAAAUCAUAACACAUGGGCAACCAACAGGGAUGACUGGAUGAAAAUCUCCUGCACUGGACACAUGUCUAUUCAUUUUACUUCCAUUUCCCUGAUGUGUAGUUUUCCUAAAGGGACACUUUGGACAUCUUUACAAGAUCUGAACUUUAUUUUCCAGCUCUAGGGGUUUACUGUAACUUCCAUUUUUGGCCAACUGGACAAAAAUUUCUUUUCACCUGUAUUCUGAUCCAGCGAGCAACAAUCAAGUUCUUUUGAUAGGAUUCCAAAAAGAUGCUUAAAAAUACUUGGAGGCAGGAAUGUAGCAUCUAUCUGCAACUUUUCAAGAGGACAACAUGCAAUCCCAGGAAAAGGGAACAUUUGGGAUGCUACAUGUUCUGUUUAGAAUUAAAUCUGAAGCAUUUCACAGACA